rnacentral:tRNA from 1 species
GGGGAUUUGGCUCAGCGGUAGAGCGCUUGCCUAGCAAGCACAAGGCCCUGGGUUCGGUCCCCAGCUCA